rnacentral:rRNA from 1 species
AUUGAACGCUGGCGGCAUGCCUUACACAUGCAAGUCGAACGGUAACAGGUCUUCGGAUGCUGACGAGUGGCGAACGGGUGAGUAAUACAUCGGAACGUGCCUAGUAGUGGGGGAUAACUACUCGAAAGAGUGGCUAAUACCGCAUGAGAUCUACGGAUGAAAGCAGGGGAUUGCAAGACCUUGUGCUACUAGAGCGGCCGAUGGCAGAUUAGGUAGUUGGUGGGAUAAAAGCUUACCAAGCCGACGAUCUGUAGCUGGUCUGAGAGGACGAUCAGCCACACUGGGACUGAGACACGGCCCAGACUCCUACGGGAGGCAGCAGUGGGGAAUUUUGGACAAUGGGCGCAAGCCUGAUCCAGCAAUGCCGCGGGCAGGAUGAAGGCCUUCGGGUUGUAAACUGCUUUUGUACGGAACGAAAAGCCCUGGGUUAAUACCCUGGGGUCAUGGCGGUACCGUAAGAAUAAGCACCGGCUAACUACGUGCCAGCCGCCGCCGUAAUAC